UACGGGGUGCAGCAGGCGCGAAACCGGUGCAAUGUACGAAAGUGCGAUGGGGGAAUGCCACUAACAGAAUAGCUUUUCAUUAGUGUAAAGAGCUUUUAGAAUAAGAGCUGGGCAAGACCGGUGCCAGCCCGGUAACACCGGCAGCUC
rnacentral:rRNA from 1 species